rnacentral:lncRNA from 1 species
CAGGGGAUGAUCUCAUCUUGAACCGGAGGGAGGUCUAGCCGGUGUUGAUUCAUUUUAGCGGGGAGCCUGCAGAGCCGAGGGCCUUGCCUCUCCACCUGUGAUUUUCAGCAUUCCGUUGGGUCAGCUUCAGGGCGUUUGUCUUUUAAGACUAAAGUUAGCAGUUUUUAAAAGGAGAAACUGAAAGCCUGUUCUCUUGUCGUCUACAUGACUAGGACGGGGCCAGAAACAGACAGCCGCGGACUCUCGUGGUUGGGUGAAAGUACAUGGACUUGCUCACUCGCUUCGGUGGGGUCUUGGCGAAGGGUCUGAAUCCUGGCUCUGCCACUGAUGAGCUGUGUGACCUUAAGCACGUUACCUAGUCUAUCUGAAACUCGGCUUCCUUAUUUGCAAAAGAGGGAUUCAAAGGAUCUUGCAGAAUCUGAAGAGGACUCCAUGACAUGUGACUGGCUAUGCUGGAUGCCUUCCAAAGGCGUCAGGUCUCUGUAAACAGCUCGCACGAGCUUCGUGAAGACGCGAGGCGCUGCGGGUCUCCAGCGGCUCUGAGGUCAGCCUUCCGGCCUAACACCACCCUACCUGCCUGUUCCUUGCUGUGUCGUCUUGGGCAACUUGCUGUGACUCUCCUGAGCCCACGUCCUCAUCGAUAAAACGGGGAGGAGUCCCAAUUUACAGACUCGUGGAGGUUCAAUGAAGUGACAGAUGUGAGAAAUAGACGGACUUU